rnacentral:rRNA from 1 species
GAUGAACGCUAGCUACAGGCUUAACACAUGCAAGUCGAGGGGAAACGAUAGAGAAAGCUUGCUUUUUCUAGGCGUCGACCGGCGCACGGGUGAGUAACGCGUAUCCAACCUGCCCAUCACUUGGGGAUAACCUUGCGAAAGUAAGACUAAUACCCAAUGACGUCUCUAGAAGACAUCUGAAAGAGAUUAAAGAUUUAUCGGUGAUGGAUGGGGAUGCGUCUGAUUAGCUUGUUGGCGGGGUAACGGCCCACCAAGGCGACGAUCAGUAGGGGUUCUGAGAGGAAGGUCCCCCACAUUGGAACUGAGACACGGUCCAAACUCCUACGGGAGGCAAGCAGUGAGGAAUAUUGGUCAAUGGACGAGAGUCUGAACCAGCCAAGUAGCGUGCAGGAUGACGGCCCUAUGGGUUGUAAACUGCUUUAUAAGGGAUAAAGUGAGUCUCGUGAGACUUUUUGCAUGUACCUUAUGAAUAAGGACCGGCUAAUUCCGUGCCAGCAGCCGACGG